CUUUGUAGCAAUACAGAGGCUGGCGACCGGCAAACGGGUGCGGAACACGUACGCAACCUUCCUUUAACUGGAGAAUAGCCCCUCGAAAGAGGGAUUAAUACUCCGUAACAUCCCGAUAUGGCAUCAUAAUGGGAUUAUAGCUCCGGCGGUUAAAGAUGGGCGUGCGCCUGAUUAGAUAGUUGGUAGGGUAACGGCCUACCAAGUCUGCGAUCAGUAACUGGUGUGAGAGCACGACCAGUCACACGGGCACUGAGACACGGGCCCGACUCCUACGGGAGGCAGCAGUAAGGAAUAUUGGUCAAUGGACGCAAGUCUGAACCAGCCAUGCCGCGUGGAGGAUUAAGGCCCUCUGGGUUGUAAACUCCUUUUAUCUGGGAAGAAAUUCUUACAUUCUUGUAAGAUUGACGGUACCAGAGGAAUAAGCACCGGCUAACUCCGUGCCAGCAGCCGCGGUAAUACGGAGGGUGCAAGCGUUAUCCGGAUUCACUGGGUUUAAAGGGUGCGUAGGCGGGCAGGUAAGUCCGUGGUGAAAUCUCUGAGCUUAACUCAGAAACUGCCAUGGAUACUAUUUGUCUUGAAUAUUGUGGAGGUAAGCGGAAUAUGUCAUGUAGCGGUGAAAUGCUUAGAUAUGACAUAGAACACCAAUUGCGAAGGCAGCUUACUACACAGUAAUUGACGCUGAGGCACGAAAGCGUGGGGAUCAAACAGGAUUAGAUACCCUGGUAGUCCACGCCCUAAACGAUGAUUACUCGACAUCAGCGAUACACUGUUGGUGUCUGAGCGAAAGCAUUAAGUAAUCCACCUGGGAAGUACGAUCGCAAGAUUGAAACUC
rnacentral:rRNA from 1 species